rnacentral:rRNA from 1 species
UACGUAGGGUGCAAGCGUUGCCCGGAAUUAUUGGGCGUAAAGAGCUCGUAGGCGGCUUGUUGCGUCUGCUGUGAAAUCCCGGGGCUUAACCCCGGGCGUGCAGUGGAUACGGGCAGGCUGGAGGCAGGCAGGGGAGAAUGGAAUUCCCGGUGUAGCGGUGAAAUGCGCAGAUAUCGGGAGGAACACCGGUGGCGAAGGCGGUUCUCUGGGCCUGUUCUGACGCUGAGGAGCGAAAGCGUGGGGAGCGAACAGG